GAUGAAGAACGUAGCGAAAUGCGAUACUUGGUGUGAAUUGCAGAAUCCCGUGAACCAUCUAGUCUUUGAACGCAAGUUGCGCCCGAAGCCACUAGGCCGAGGGCACGCCUGCCUGGGCGUCACACGCCGUUGCCCCCCCAUCUACUCCUUCGGGAUUGCGGGGGGGCGGAUGAUGGCCUCCUGUGCGCCUAGCCGCGCGGUUGGCAUAAAUACCAAGUCCUCGGCGACGCACGCCACGACAAUCGGUGGUUGCGAAACCUCGGUUGCCCGUCGUGUGCGUUCGUCGCGCAUCGAGGGCUCGAAAAAAUGCUCGGCUCCGGCUGGGCUUUCAACGCGACCCCAGGUCAGGCGGGGUUACCCGCUGAAUUUAAGCAUAUCAAUAAGCGGAGGA
rnacentral:misc_RNA from 1 species